rnacentral:lncRNA from 1 species
GGGCUACCCACCACCAGCUGGCGGGCUUCCUGGGGCCACCGGUUCCCCGGACUGCACACCUGAUGCAGAACAGGGAAGGUUGUUUAGGAGCCAGACCACUUCUGGCACUGUUCUGGGAAGAUACACAGGCCCUCUGUGGGACACACGUCUCCGGGUGUCUCAUCAGCGGAUUCCCUGGUGCUGCCUGGGAGGGCAAGGGUCAACGAUUAAGUUGGAGUCCUCUAGUCAACAGAGUUUAGAAAAAGUUUUGGUAGUGGAAGGACAAGUGUAUCCACAUGAGGAGCGGGGAGCUUUGUGGAAAAGGGAAGAAGAGAUGCAACUGUGGAGCAGAUGACAUUGGAGAAUAGACAAGCCCAAGAGGACUCACACCAAGAGAAAUUUUGAUAGCCAAAGGGCAACGUGAAGGCAUUGAAGUAACACGGAGAUUAAGAGAUGGUACUAGUAGCAUGCAGACGAAACAAAAAAUAAAAUUUGCUUUAAAAUUGGG